CAAGACGUAGCUUAAACAAAAGCAUUCAGCUUACACCUGAAAAAUGUCUGUUAAUACCAGAUCGUCUUGAUGCCAAACUCUAGCCCAAUC
rnacentral:tRNA from 1 species